GCCCUCGGUGGCUCAGAUGGAUAGAGCGUCUGCCAUGUAAGCAGGAGAUCCUGGGUUCGAGUCCCGGCCGGGGCA
rnacentral:tRNA from 1 species